rnacentral:rRNA from 1 species
GAUCGGUCUACUCCCUACCAGCUAGUUGGCGGGGUAACGGCCCACCAAGGCGACGACGGGUACCCGGGCUAAGAGGCUGACCGGGCACAUCGGCACUGAGACACUGGCCGGACACCUACGGGUGGCUGCAGUUCGGAAUAUUGGGCAAUGGGCGCAAGCCUGACCCAGCGACGCCGCGUGGAGGAUGAAGGCCCUCUGGGUUGUAAACUUCUGUCACGGGUGAACAAAUCGGUUCAAGCUAACAUCUUGAGGCGUUGAGCUUAGCCUGGGAGGAAGCCCCCGCUAAUCACGUGCCAGCAGCGGCGGUAAUACGUGAGGGGCAAACGUUGUUCGGUGUCACUGGGCUUAAAGGGUGCGUAGGCGGCUGUGCAAGUAAGGUGUGAAAGCCCUCGGCUUACCCGAGGAGCUGCGCCUUAAACUGCAUGGCUUGAGGACCACAGGGGUUGGAGAAACUCCAGGUGUAGCGGUGAAAUGCGUAGAUAUCUGGGGGAAGGCCGGUAGCGAAGGCGUCCAACUGGGUGGUACCUGACGCUGAGGCACGAAAGCGUGGGGAGCAAACAGGAUUAGAU